rnacentral:rRNA from 1 species
CGUCUAUAUACGUAUAGCAUAUCAAUAAGCGGAGGAAAAGAAACUAACAAGGAUUCCCCUAGUAACGGCGAGUGAAGCGGGAAGAGCUCAAAUUAGAAAUCUUCAAGGGUUUCCCUUGACGAAUUGUAGUUUAAAGAAGUGUUUUCUGUUAGAGAGGUGGUAAAAGUUCUUUGGAAUAGGACAUCAUAGAGGGUGAGAAUCCCGUAUUUGAUCACUUUCUACUAACGUUGUGAUACACUUUCAAAGAGUCGGAUUGUUUGGGAAUGCAGUCCAAAAUGGGUGGUAAAUUUCAUCUAAAGCUAAAUAUUGGCGAGAGACCGAUAGCGAACAAGUACCGUGAGGGAAAGAUGAAAAGAACUUUGAAAAGAGAGUUAAACAGUACGUGAAAUUGUCAAAAGGGAAGCGUUUGACACCAGUGUUGUUUUUCCGAAAAUCAAUUAAGAAUGGCCGGAUUUUAAGUUUCAUGACCUUAAAAGCUUGUUUCUUAUUUUUCUUGUCUUUCUUAAUGCACUUUUCGGUUAACAAGUCAACAUCAAUUUCUUUUGUUGUAAAAGGUUAAGAGGAAGGUGGCUUUACUUUCGGGUAAAGUGUUUAUAGCCUUUUAACUCUGCAAUCGGAGAGAUUGAGGUCUGCAGCGUAGAUCCUUCGGGGCUAGAUACGUUUGUGCUAAGUUAUAGCUUUUCAUAGACAACUUGUUGACUAUGUUUAGUCUUGUAGCUUACUCGCAUGCUGCUAUUUUACCUACGCUUAGGAUGU